UUUCUCUGGAGAGACCCAAUGCGGGAGCCGAAGGUGUACGGCGGAUGAAUCCAUUCGCUUAAUCUCUCAGGCAAAAGGACGGAGC
rnacentral:ncRNA from 1 species